AGAGUUUGAUCAUGGCUCAGAACGAACGCUGGCGGCAGGCCUCAAACAUGCAAGUCUAGGGGGCGUAGCAAUACGUCACCGGCGGACGGGUGCGUAACACGUGGGAAUGUACUUAUUGGUUCGGAACAACUCAGGGAAACUUGAGCUAAUACCGAAUGUGCCCGAAAGGGGAAAGAUUUAUCGCCAAUAAAUCAGCCCGCGUCCGAUUAGCUAGUUGGUGGGGUAAAGGCCCACCAAGGCGACGAUCGGUAGCUGUUCUGAGAGGAAGAUCAGCCACACUGGGACUGAGACACGGCCCAGACUCCUACGGGAGGCAGCAGUUGGGAAUCUUGGACAAUGGGGGAAACCCUGAUCCAGCCAUGCCGCGUGAGUGAUGAAGGCCUUCGGGUUGUAAAACUCUUUCGACGGGGACGAUAAUGACGGUACCCGUAGAAGAAGCUCCGGCUAACUUCGUGCCAGCAGCCGCGGUAAUACGAAGGGGGCUAGCGUUGUUCGGAAUUACUGGGCGUAAAGCGUGCGCAGGCGGUCUUCCAAGUCAGUGGUGAAAGCCCGGAGCUCAACUCCGGAACUGCCAUUGAAACUGUGAGACUCGAGUACGAGAGAGGUGAGUGGAAUUCCCAGUGUAGAGGUGAAAUUCGUAGAUAUUGGGAAGAACACCGGUGGCGAAGGCGGCUCACUGGCUCGUAACUGACGCUCAGGCACGACAGCGUGGGGAUCAAACAGGAUUAGAUACCCUGGUAGUCCACGCCGUAAACUAUGGACGCUAGCCGUUAGGCAGCUUGCUGCUUAGUGGCGCAGCUAACGCAUUAAGCGUCCCGCCUGGGGAGUACGGCCGCAAGGUUGAAACUCAAAGGAAUUGACGGGGCCCGCACAAGCGGUGGAGCAUGUGGUUUAAUUCGACGCAACGCGCAGAACCUUACCAGGGUUUGACAUCCUGUGCUCACUCCUGAAAGGGAGCUUCCCCGCA
rnacentral:rRNA from 1 species